rnacentral:rRNA from 1 species
GUCGUCAGCUCGUGCCGUGAGGUGUAUGGUUAAGUCCACAACGAGCGCAACCCUCCGUCGCUAGUUAAUUCCCUAGCGAGACCGCCUCGCAAACGAGGAGGAAGGCGGGGAUGGCGUCAAGUCAGCAUGGCCUUUAUACCCUGGGCGACACACACGCUACAAUGGGUGGUACAGUAGGUAGCGAAGGAGCGAUCCGGAGCAAAUCCUUAAAACCAUCCUCAGUACGGAUUGCAGGCUGAAACCCGCCUGCAUGAAGCCGGAGUUGCUAGUAACCGCAUAUCAGCAUGGUGCGGUGAAUACGUUCUCGGGCCUU